UACACAACGAUAUCAGAGUUACACUAGCAUACACCAAAUAUUAUGAAAUGCAGAUACUAAGACCGCACGCAGGCUGGUCUACAGCAGUUCCAAAACUGCAACUUAAAUCACAAUAACAGUUUUACACAGCAACAAGUUAUCACACUUAUCUGUUCACUAAAUCAUAAGGCAAAAAUCAUAAUCAUAACUGCAGUUAACCAUCCUGACAUGGCAUGAACUCUAUGAAUGUAAAACUCAAGUCAACUAUUUGACACAGCCAGCAAGAAAACACAGUCAAGUGGCUAGGAUACUCAGGUUGCACAUCAAAUCACGCUAGCACCUACAAUACUGAGGGUGCACAUUCUCACUCAUGCACGGGAAAAGGUGAUAACCACAUCUACAGAGGUAACAACCCCCUUACCGUCACAAGAAGGUAUCCCUCAGUGUGUACAGAUUAAUUUGUCUUGUUUUAUCAGUGAUGCACCAGCUUGCGCAUUUGUAAAGCAAGUGAAAGGUCAUUCACGAUAUUAUGGCGUGUGAAAAGUGUGUACAAAAAGGAUUUUAGGAUGGAAAGGUUGUUUACCCUGAGCUUGGCUGUUCCCUCGAACGGAUGCUCAAUUUGAUGAAAUGUGCUUUUCAAAUCACAAAACUGGAGAAUCUCCUCUCAGAACUCUUAGGAAUGGUUUCACAGUUUCCAUUAGAUUAUAUGCAUUUAGUGUGUCUUGGAGUUAUGAGAAGGUUGCAGAUGAAAGAGCGUGAAUAACGAGAGUGAGUGAGGAAAGUUUUCACAAUGCGUGUAUGGAUAACAUAAAUUAUUUGCAGUUCACCUAUUCUUUCUUCACUGAUCGAUACCAACACAACCAGGUACGGAGUGUAAGAAGUCUUUUUGCGUGUUUAUUUUUUCAGCAACCGAACCAUCAAAAGGGGGUUCAACAUAUAGAAGAAAGAAAAAGGCAAUACACCAUUUAACGUCGUACAUUGCCACCAUGGCAGAAACCUUGCAGUUUGAGAAAAUCCUUCCUCUCAGUAAUAUUCUGAUAGAUCGUAUGACACGAUUUAUUACAGAUAAAAAGGUAAACCAUCAUAAAGCCAGUAACUAUAAGGCUCUAAGGUCAUAGAGGAACAAGUUUUGUAAAUAGUUGAAACAUGCAGAAAAUGAAAACAGCAUGCCUGAGAUCAAAUUUAAAACCAGGACAUUCAUUUAUCUUUAUUCAUAAUCAACUCUAAACUGUUGC